UACAUGUCUGAUGGUGCAGAGCUCAUAAAU
rnacentral:piRNA from 1 species